GAGGAAGCAGGUGUCUUCUGCUUUGUCUA
rnacentral:piRNA from 1 species